rnacentral:rRNA from 1 species
AGCAGCCGCGGUAAUUCCAGCUCCAAUAGCGUAUAUUAAAGUUGUUGCAGUUAAAAAGCUCGUAGUUGAAUUUCGGGGUUUAUCCGUUGGUCGGGCUUUUUGGUCUGUACUGGCGUGAUGGAUUCCUACCUUCUGAAUAACCGGCAUGCCAUUAAUUUGGUGCGCCGGGGAAGCAGGACUGUUACCUUGAAAAAAUUAGAGUGCUUAAAGCAGGCUUAUGCCUGAAUACAUUAGCAUGGAAUAAUGAAAUAGGACGGCAUGGUUCUAUUUUGUUGGUUUCUAGGAUCACCGUAAUGAUUAAUAGGGAUAGUUGGGGGCAUUAGUAUUCAAUUGUCAGGGGUGAAAUUCUUGGAUUUAUUGAAGACUAACUUCUGCGAAAGCAUUUGCCAAGGAUGUUUUCAUUAAUCAAGAACGAAAGUUAGGGGAUCGAAGACGAUCAGGUACCGUCGUAGUCUUAACCAUAAACUAUGCCGACUAGGGAUCGGAUGAUGUUAAUUUUUUAAUGACUCAUUCGGCGCCU